UUGAUAUUUGUAUCUCCAUAUCUCAAUAAAGGCAAUUUCCCUCCUUGAGUCCCCACUUGGCAGAGCCUUUGUAGCAUUCCACCUGCAGUGUACAACCUCACCAGAGAUCCUGGCAGACAGAGUAGCACAAGUUUCAACCUGUCUCUAAGUCAAUUUUUUUUACCAAUUAUCCACUCUCAGGCCAGCUUCGUUCACUUUGGCUUUUACUUGAACGUUAACGUAGAAUAGAUACCUGGAUGGAGAACUCCUGGUUGUCCUACUGCCCGCUCUGCCUUGCACUGUGGUUAUCAACUUUGCUUACAUCAAGUGAGGUCAUUAACCUAAACAUGGAAUAA
rnacentral:lncRNA from 12 species